GGUGAAUUUUCCGCAAUGGGCGAAAGCCUGACGGAGCAAUACCGCGUGCGGGACGAAGGCUUUUGGGUCGUAAACCGCUUUUGUUAGGGAAGAAGAACUGACGGUACCUAACGAAUCAGCAUCGGCUAACUCCGUGCCAGCAGCCGCGGUAAUACGGGGGAUGCAAGCGUUAUCCGGAAUUAUUGGGCGUAAAGCGUCCGCAGGUGGUUUAUCAGGUCUGCUGUCAAAGCGUGGGGCUUAACCCCAUAAAGGCAGUGGAAACUGAGAGACUAGAGUACGGUAGGGGUAGCGGGAAUUCCCAGUGUAGCGGUGAAAUGCGUAGAUAUUGGGAAGAACACCAGCGGCGAAGGCGCGCUACUGGGCCGAAACUGACACCCAUGGACGAAAGCUAGGGGAGCGAAAGGGAUUAGAUACCCCUGUAGUCCUAGCUGUAAACGAUGACAACUAGGUGUUGCGCGUAUCGACCCGUGCAGUGCCGUAGCUAACGCGUUAAGUUGUCC
rnacentral:rRNA from 1 species